rnacentral:lncRNA from 1 species
GGAUCCCCGCAGUCCAGCCACGCCAGCGAACACGCCAGUCCCGAGGAGCUGCUUCCGUCUGCGCGCGGGGACCGGCGCUGCCCCGAGGCUCUCGGCGCUGACCGGGAAGGGGCCGCCCGCUCCUGUCCCGGAGAGCAGGCUCCCUCCCGGGCGGAUCCUUUCGGUAAAUUUACAUCGGCUGUUUCUUUCUGCCCGGCCCUGGGUCUCGAAGGGAAAGGAACGGUUUGUUUUCUCUGCUUGCACGAUUUGUUUUAAAGCCGAUCCUUACCCGCUGGGCUCCGCGACCGAACCCUCGGCUCUCUGCCUGCACUCCAAAGAUAAAAAAUAAAAAGGCUGGACUUGAACUCACUGUGUAGCACAGGCUGGCCUUAACGUCAUGAUGAGCCUCCUGCCUCAGCAUCCUGAGUGCUGGGAUUUCAGGGAUGGAACUUGGAACCUUACACUUGCAAGGCAGGUGCCGGAACCACUCAGGUAAAUCCCUGCCCCUUUACUUUAUGAACUUGAGAACUUUUCCUUUUUGACUUAAAGGAAGAAAAUUGUAGGGCCAGUCCUUGGCCAGCAUCACUAUACAGCACUUGCUCACUGAGGCCAUUAGUAAGUAAAGUAAUGGUUGCUGAAUACACACUGUGAUGUUACAGCCAAUCAGAUAACUGAGAUGGCCACUAAGCCACACAAUACUAAUAAUCACAUCAGGUAACAAGCCCAGAGGUAAUAGGAGGGCCUGAGGUAAUGCAUGAGGCUCUGGGUUUGAGCCCCAGUACUGCCGAAACAAACAAACAUAUGUAAAAAUGUCCAACAACUUUUUUUGGUACUGGGGAUCGAACUCGGGACCUUGUGCUUACGAGGCAGGUGGCAGAACCACUGAACUAAAUCCCCG